rnacentral:rRNA from 1 species
UACGGAGGGUGCAAGCGUUGUUCGGAUUUAUUGGGCGUAAAGCGCGUGUAGGCGGUCUCUUAAGUCUGAUGUGAAAGCCCUGGGCUCAACCCAGGAAGUGCAUUGGAUACUGGGAGACUUGAAUACGGGAGAGGGUAGUGGAAUUCCUAGUGUAGGAGUGAAAUCCGUAGAUAUUAGGAGGAACACCGGUGGCGAAGGCGGCUACCUGGACCGAUAUUGACGCUGAGGUGCGAAAGCGUGGGGAGCAAACAGG